CCUACGGGGCGCAGCAGUGGGGAAUAUUGGACAAUGGGCGAAAGCCUGAUCCAGCCAUGCCGCGUGUGUGAAGAAGGCCUUCGGGUUGUAAAGCACUUUCAGUGGGGAAGAAAGCCUUGGGGCUAAUACCCUCGAGGAAGGACAUCACCCACAGAAGAAGCACCGGCUAACUCCGUGCCAGCAGCCGCGGUAAUACGGAGGGUGCGAGCGUUAAUCGGAAUUACUGGGCGUAAAGCGCGCGUAGGCGGUCUGAUAAGCCGGUUGUGAAAGCCCCGGGCUCAACCUGGGAACGGCAUCCGGAACUGUCAGGCUAGAGUGCAGGAGAGGAAGGUAGAAUUCCCGGUGUAGCGGUGAAAUGCGUAGAGAUCGGGAGGAAUACCAGUGGCGAAGGCGGCCUUCUGGACUGACACUGACGCUGAGGUGCGAAAGCGUGGGUAGCAAACAGGAUUAGCUACCCGAGUAGUC
rnacentral:rRNA from 1 species